rnacentral:rRNA from 1 species
GACGAACGCUGGCGGCGUGCCUAAUACAUGCAAGUAGAACGCUGAAGCGAGGAGCUUGCUCUUCUUGGAUGAGUUGCGAACGGGUGAGUAACGCGUAGGUAACCUGCCUUGUAGCGGGGGAUAACUAUUGGAAACGAUAGCUAAUACCGCAUAACAAUGGAUGACACAUGUCAUUUAUUUGAAAGGGGCAAUUGCUCCACUACAAGAUGGACCUGCGUUGUAUUAGCUAGUAGGUGAGGUAAUGGCUCACCUAGGCGACGAUACAUAGCCGACCUGAGAGGGUGAUCGGCCACACUGGGACUGAGACACGGCCCAGACUCCUACGGGAGGCAGCAGUAGGGAAUCUUCGGCAAUGGGGGCAACCCUGACCGAGCAACGCCGCGGGAGUGAAGAAGGGUGUCGGAUCGUAAAGCUCUGUUGUAAGUCAAGAACGGGUGUGAGAGUGGAAAGUUCACACUGUGACGGUAGCUUACCAGAAAGGGACGGCUAACUACGUG